CAUUCAAUAGGAAAGCAGAGUCUCUUCAAUAAAUGGUGCUGGGAAAACUGGAUAUCAACCUGCAAAAGUAUGAAGUUGGACCCUUUCCUUAUACUGUAUACCGUAUUCAACUCAAAACAAAUUAAAGACUUAA